UAAUUUUGCUCAUAAUUCGAAGGUUUGUACAGCUGCCAUUUUCUGACUCGUUAAAAUUUAUUUCAGAUUGCGGUUUAACAAUAAUAAGUUAGUAUGCCAUUUUGUUUUUUUGGACAGGAGAGAAUAGGUUAAUGUGCCAAAUGUUUAUAUGGGCACAGCAGUCCAGAACAAAUGACGCCGUGUAAACUCUCUUUCUGUUUAAAAUCAACUUGGAUGCUAGUAGAAUGACUGAAAAAAAAAUCUUAUUUUUUUAAUUAAAUACUUGUAUAUAGACUCUUUGUACUUAAAUUACAGUGACAUAUUGCGUAAAACUGAUAAGGUUGGCAGUCAUGACAGGGAAUUUGUAAGGAAAUUCUGUAACAAACUGUUUUCUUUGCAAUUGUAUGCUCCACUUCUUUAACAAAGAGUAAAACCAAAGAGUAAAAAAGAGUAACCUGUAAACGAGAGUCUUCUCUAUCUUUAUCAGUUUUUUGAUCAAGAACCAUACCAAGUGACGCCUAAAAGAUUGGUUAGGAAUUAAUUUUCUCAGUUGAGCUUAGGUUUUGAAUAGAACUCUCCAGAUAAUUGAAUGUUACUGUCUGAAAGACAUGGCCCAUUCCACGGAGAAGUGUCUCCAUUUGUCUGUCUCUAAUGGAGAGGACGGUGGCUGUACGUCAUUACUGUCAACAUUAAGCAGUUCCCCUUCCCUCUUCACCCCUACAUCCCUCGGAUUACCACUCACCAACGUGAGUUCUAGUGAAGAAGAGGACGCAGUAGAAUUCAGGCAAAUUCUCGGGUUCCGCGGCCAUGUCUACGAAUGUUCAGAGCGUGUUCUUAUUUUCAUGUGUAAAUAAAAUGUUCUGAAUCAGACGAAAUUUUGAAAAUGACAUGAAUACUACGCAAUAUGCCUACGCGUCACUGAAUGUAUGUUGUGUUUUGUAACUUACAAAUAUUUAUAAGGUUCAUGAAGUGAAUUUAAACUGAAAGCAGAUUCCCACGUUACGUAGGACUUCAAGACAGACUAACUCUAUUAACUCCUUGACAUCAUACACAUUGAUACGGUAAUGGCGAAAACACCACAUAAAGAUACUGGACUCGUGCAUCCAGAGAUCGGGCUCUAUUAAUUGGACCAUACUGAGAAGGCUUUUCAACUGAGGACAGAGACGUAGUCUAGUCUUAGAAACUUCUAUCUCAAAAAUGAGAACGAUGGAUAUUGUCCAGAAACUGUAUCAUUGUAUUACUAUAACGUAGUUACGAUUUUUUUAGAUUUUACUUAAGUAUGUGAUUUUCUGCAGCUACUGAGUUCUUAGGCGAAAGAUAGCGAAUUUUAUUAUAAGACUGAAAUUUUAAUAUCCCUUUGCUUCUUGGAUCGUCGGAUUAUUUACAGAUCGAGGGACAAGGCUUCACACACGGAAUACGUCAGUACUUUUGGUAACUAUAAGCAAUUAAUUUCUGGAAGAAGAAUGAAACGUGU